UAGAUAGAAGCCUGCAGGUUGAGGCACCUGGCUGUUAACCAGGCUAGUUAUGGGAUCGAGGCCCGUCUAUCUAG
rnacentral:tRNA from 1 species